UUUCCGUAGGUGGACCUGCGGAAGGAUCAUUACUGAGUGAGGGCCCCUCGGGGUCCAACCUCCCACCCGUGUUUAACGAACCUUGUUGCUUCGGCGGGCCCGCCUCACGGCCGCCGGGGGGCACCUGCCCCCGGGCCCGCGCCCGCCGAAGCCACCUGUGAACGCUGUCUGAAGUAUGCAGUCUGAGACAAUUAUUAAAUUAAUUAAAACUUUCAACAACGGAUCUCUUGGUUCCG
rnacentral:misc_RNA from 1 species